rnacentral:sRNA from 1 species
UGGGCUGGGCGGCCGGCGGCGCUGGCCCGGCGGCGGCGGCAGCGGGGUCCGGGUCCGGAGCGCCACAUCUGUGGUCCGAAGACAACCCUAUGAGGCAUCAGUAGGGUUUUACAGGUGGCGUAGUGGAGGCCUAACGAAGUCAGCUGAGACGGUUUAAGCGGAAGCAUCUUACUGCCAUCGACUGCCAGCAUUUGGCUCGGAGUCACUUGGCUGUGACCCAGCCCUUCGGUCAAAGAUGGACAAACAGAGAUCCGAACCAUGGUCUCUAUCCUAAACCCAGAACAAAAAGAGGGAGUAGGGGUCAGGGACGUCAAAGAUGCAUCCCUGAGUUCUUCCUAGCAGGCAAGUGGCCGUGCACCAAUGACAUGGCCAAAAGCAAUUCUGUUGGCCAGGACAGCUGUCAGGACUCUGAUGGUGACAUGAUCUUUCCUGCAGAGAGCAGCUGUGCACUGCCUCAGGAAGGCAGUGGAGAAGCAUGGCUGGGCUCAUCAGGGUCUGCCCCGCCCUCCAGGAAGCGGUCUCGGUCCUCUGAGGAAGAGAGUAACCAGGCUACCGGGACCAGCCAGUGGGAUGGAGUUUCUAAGAAAGCUCUGCGGCACCAUUUGUCUGUGCCAUGCACAAGGCCUAGGGAGGCCAGGCAAGAAGCAGAGGACAGUAUGUCUCGGCUCUCUGCAGAGUCUGGAGAAACCGACCAAGAUGCUGGGGACAUGGGUCCUGAUCUCGUUCCUGACUCAUACUAUGGGCUUCUUGGGACCUUGCCCUGCCAGGAAGCACCGAGCCACAUUUGCAGCCUGCCUAGUGAGGUCCUGAGGCACGUGUUUGCCUUCCUCCCGGUGGAAGACCUCUAUUGGAACCUGAGCUUGGUGUGCCACCUGUGGAGGGAGAUCAUCA